rnacentral:rRNA from 1 species
CAUCGCCUCUUGCCCUCAUAAGAGGUCCAGCCUGCCCAGUGACUUUAUUUAACGGCCGCGGUAUUCUAACCGUGCAAAGGUAGCGUAAUCACUUGUCUUCUAAAUAAAGACCAGUAUGAAAGGCACCACGAAGGCUAAACUGUCUCCUUUCUCCAAUCAGUGAACCUAAUCUCCCCGUGAAGAAGCGGGGAUCCUACUAUAAGACGAGAAGACCCUAUGGAGCUUAAAACAUCAUAACAAUUGCCACCACUUAUAACCACUCCGGUCUUUCUAUUAAACAGCAUCCUGAUUAUAUGUUUUUGGUUGGGGUGACCGCGGAGAAAAACUCAUCCUCCACAGUAAGGGGCUUUCCCCUAAGCGAUAAGUCACAACUUUAUGCAUCAAAAUUUGACACUUAUUGACCCAACAAAUUGAUUAACGAACCAAGUUACCCUAGGGAUAACAGCACAAUCCACUUUGAGAGCCCAUAUCGACAAGUGGGCUUAUGACCUCGAUGUUGGAUCGGGAUAUCCUAGUGGUGCAACCGCUACUAAAGGUUCGUUUGUUCAACGAUUAAAACCCC